GUCAGGACAUGUCCAGUCACACUGACCAGCAGCAGACCAGUCAGUGAGCAGACCGUGUGAAGCUGCAUGGACUUUCUGUGUGUUUCCCUAAUGAUAUGUGCGUUCUUGAGGAAAUAAAUACCCAGACGCCCCAUUUCAAAAACUCCUCGAAUCUACACGAUUCACACAAGUGAUCUAUUUUGGGCUCAAAAUGGCGAAAAGGUGACAAGUUUGCGCCCCUGAUGAAUGAUGGCUGGAGGCAAAUGUCUUCAAAUCAAAUGUGAAGUCUCACCGAAAACUUUAAAAAGUGCCUGACUUUGUUAACAUCCAACAGCAGGGGCCGGGUCAUGGGAGCAGCAGGCUGAGCAAGGUAUUCAACACAUCCCUCUCCCCAGCAGAAUUUGCAGGAUCCCCUGAAUCCUGAGGCGUUCCCAUGCCAGAUGAAAUACAGUGGUGUGAAAAAGUGUUUGCCCCCUUCCUGAUUUCUUACUUUUUUGCAUGUUUUCCGC